GGCAACCAGCACGAUCCGUCGUUCGAUCCGGAGAUACGCGGCUGUCCGAAGACGCUUUGAUGGCGGGGAUGGUUUUGUAACCGGAGCACCAGUAACAAGUGCACUGGAGUGAACAUAAAAUACGAAAAAUAUCAGAGUAACCGAAAGCGGUCCCUUUUCACUGGCGUACUCCAGUACGACGAGUAUCGAGGCAACGCACCGAGGUCACCGAUGAACGGAACAUCGGUUAGUCAUCACCCUUGUCAUGCAAGGCGAGGAGGACACCAUGAUGAACCUAGGACGUCACGAUUCUUGAGGGCAUCAUCAUCCGGAGGCGAUCGGUUUGAAGAGUCUUCCGGCCAUCGGGAUCACACUUUUAUCAUCAAUCCUCCGGGGACAAUCAUCCAGAAGAAUACCAUCAGGAAGAACGUGGUGGACCACGCCGUCAGAAUUUUAGCAAAAUGGGCGGAAGGAAUCCCCUCAUCACGACAUAAAUUUCGUGACAGUUCUAAUGAAUACGGACUUACGACUUCACACUCUUUUCCCUAAACACUCUGAAAUUGAUCAACCUUCUUACCAAUUA